UAACAGAUCAGGGUAGUCCUCCCUCCCAGGCCUCUGUUUUGUUGUUUUGAGGAUUAUCAUCUUCUGUCAGU
ensembl:miRNA